GCUAGGAUUCAGUUUUGGCACCUUCACUUUGGAGCAGUGUUGGUCCCCUGAUCCUUGCUUUUCACUGAAUUUUUGUGUCUGGUUUCUCAUUCUCUUGCUGUAUCAUGCUUUCUGAAACCCUGCUUGCUGAGCCGGUCUUGACAUUCCUAGAAAGGACUGAGUCCACUGGAGAAAUUUUACAGUUUGACCACUUCAAGGAUGAACUGACCACCCUGAGGCAUGAAGAUUAAUGGCCCUGGGACGCUGAACAUGAAAUAAAGCAUCCUGAGCUGUUACCUCCCCUUCUGCAGCACAGAAGUCUUUAUUGCACUGCUGACAAGAUUCCAUGAAAAUGUUAGAGUGUAAUCAUUCAUGUUAUUAAACAGUCCCAGAUCUGGCUUCUGCUGCUGCUGCUGCUAAGUCGCUUCAGUCUAACUCUGUGCGACCCCAUAGAUGGCAGCCCACCAGGCUCCCCUGUCCCUGGGAUUCUCCAGGCAAGACUACUGGAGUGGGUUGCCAUUACCUUCUCCAAUGCAUGAAAGUGAAAAGUGAAAAGUGAAAGUGAAGUCGCUCAGUCGUGUCCAACUCUUAGUGACCCCAUGGACUGCAGUCCACCAGGCUCCUCCGUCCAUGGAAUUUUCCAGGCAAGAGUACUGGAGUGGGGUGCCAUUGCCUUCUCCAGCACAAAGGAACAGAGGAUGUCUUAGGUGGGUAAUGCAUCUGUUUGGCUGCUAUAAGGAGUGGAGCUGCUGAAAGAUCUUGCCCUUGUUGCAUCUGCUUAUAUUGCCAAGAACAGCCAUGCUUUCAAAAGGACUGUUUAUUGUGGUAAUGGUUUGUUUGAGUCUUAGAGCAGCAAAUGAUCAAAUAUGACAAAUCCAUGAUGUUAUAUAAAACCACGGUCAUUUAUCAAAUUAGGGCCCACUUCCUGGCACUCACAAUAGGGUCAAUGCCCCAAUCAACCCCUGCUCUGAUCUCCUCUGAACUCUGUCAAAAAACAGGGACCGUGUUGUUUAUUACCAUUAUUCCAGGAAGGUACAGCUUUCUCUCAUUUUCUGCAUUACAACCCUCUCUCAAACUACUUUGUUGCUUCUAUCCUUUACACUGUAUCAAAUCAAUAGCUUCUUUUUGGAGGAAACUGCAGUGACUUUGGGGGAGGAGUAGUGGCACUGUGGCAUAAGAAAGAGCCAAAGUACGCUCCUUGACUGACUCUUGGGGUACAGAAAAGAGCAUAGCAUCAGGGAUAAACCAGGAAAUGGGGUUAUAAGCGCAUACUCUUCCCUACACUUUUCAAAAUGAUUUGAAAAUUGUACUGAGAGUAAUGCCUAAUUUCCACAUGGCUGAGUUCUGAACUGAUAAGCCCUAUAUUGUUUUUGUGAAGUUUUUUGUUGUUUUUGUUUGUUUGUUUGUUUUUACCUUUGAUUGUUGUGGGCAUUUAAAAAGGAAUUUUAAAAUAAAGAAAUACUCUUCAGAA
ensembl:lncRNA